UGACCUGUUACCCGCUUUCGGAUCGGUCUAGGACGGCGCACUCACUUCUUUCACGGGAGGCAGCAGUGGGGAAUAUUGGACAAUGGGUGAAAGCCUGAUCCAGCCAUUCCGCGUGCGUGAAGAAGGUCUUCGGAUUGUAAAGCUCUUUAAGUUGGGAGGAAGGGCAGUAAGUUUAAUACCUGGGGAUCAUGACGGUACGUCAGAAUAAGCCCCGGUGCUGCG
rnacentral:rRNA from 1 species